CCUACGGGUGGCAGCAGUGAGGAAUAUUGGUCAAUGGGCGCAAGCCUGAACCAGCCAAGUAGCGUGAAGGAUGACUGCCCUACGGGUUGUAAACUUCUUUUAUAAAGGAAUAAAGUGAGGCACGUGUGCCUUUUUGUAUGUACUUUAUGAAUAAGGAUCGGCUAACUCCGUGCCAGCAGCCGCGGUAAUAAGGAGGAUCCGAGCGUUAUACGGAUUUAUUGGGUUUAAAGGGAGCGUAGAUGGGUUGUUAAGUCAGUUGUGAAAGUUUGCGGCUCAACCGUAAAAUUGCAUUUGAUACUGGCAGCCUUGAGUACAGUUGAGGUAGGCGGAAUUCGUGGUGUAGCGGUGAAAUGCUUAGAUAUCACGAAGAACUCCGAUUGCGAAGGCAGCCUACUAAACUGCCACUGACAUUGAUGCUCGAAAGUGUGGGUAGCAAACAGGAUUAGAUACCCUUGUAGUC
rnacentral:rRNA from 1 species